rnacentral:piRNA from 1 species
UUCAGUUGAACAUCUGGUUUU